UACGAAGGGAGCUAGCGUUGUUCGGAAUUACUGGGCGUAAAGGGCGCGUAGGCGGCUUGGCAAGUUGGGUGUGAAAGCCCAGGGCUCAACCCUGGAAUUGCACUCAAGACUGCCUUGCUUGAAUUCGGUAGAGGUUGGUGGAAUUCCCAGUGUAGAGGUGAAAUUCGUAGAGAUUGGGAAGAACACCCGUGGCGAAGGCGGCCAACUGGACCGACAUUGACGCUGAGGCGCGAAAGCGUGGGGAUCAAACAGG
rnacentral:rRNA from 1 species